GUAGAUAAAAAUACAGACAACUAUUGGAAUUUCAACUUUGGAAUUGAGCAGCCAACUUGCUGUAGAUAUUAUGGCAGACCUCUAAGCCAUUAUUACACAUGGAGGACACAUGUUGCAAGUGAUACGGGUUGUUCAUCUGGAAUUUUUUCUGCUCCGGUUUUUUUUUUUGUCUAACACUGUGGGAAAAUGUGAAGAGGAUACACAAAAUGCAACAGCCAGACUUCCGUUGUGUUGGGUUAAUGCGGCAUAUAACUAAAAGCAGCCAACAGGAUGUUGCAAUGAAACAAAAAAAAUAAAAACCCAAACAAAAAUCUUAAACUCAACAACAACAAAAAGAAACAAAAACCAGACCUUGUUCAUCUCCUGAGGGAUGCAGCUAGGAAACAUGGGAAACAUGUGUUCAACAUUGAAAAACUUUCGAAAAAAACGAUAAAAAUAAAAAAUUGAGAGAGGCAUAGUUUCAAAGAGGAAAAACGCAAGAUUUAAUGAAUGACAAACGAUAUUUUACAAUUUUUUUGCUCAUUCUUAUAACUUGCUAUGUUUUUGCCAUCUAACAACA